AUUGAACGCUGGCGGCAGGCUUAACACAUGCAAGUCGAGCGGAGAUGAGGUGCUUGCACCUUAUCUUAGCGGCGGACGGGUGAGUAAUGCUUAGGAAUCUGCCUAUUAGUGGGGGACAACAUUCCGUAAGGAAUGCUAAUACCGCAUACGCCCUACGGGGGGAAAGCAGGGGAUCUUCGGACCUUGCGCUAAUAGAUGAGCCUAAGUCGGAUUAGCUAGUUGGUGGGGUAAAGGCCUACCAAGGCGACGAUCUGUAGCGGGUCUGAGAGGAUGAUCCGCCACACUGGGACUGAGACACGGCCCAGACUCCUACGGGAGGCAGCAGUGGGGAAUAUUGGACAAUGGGCGGAAGCCUGAUCCAGCCAUGCCGCGUGUGUGAAGAAGGCCUUUUGGUUGUAAAGCACUUUAAGCGAGGAGGAGGCUACCUGGAUUAAUACUCUAGGAUAGUGGACGUUACUCGCAGAAUAAGCACCGGCUAACUCUGUGCCAGCAGCCGCCGUAACAC
rnacentral:rRNA from 1 species